AAAGAAUAGAAAAACCUGAAAUUGUUGAUUCUUUAUUGAAAUCAUUAUGAAUAAUUAAAUUUAACAGUUAUAACAACACUUGAAAUUUACAUAAUUUACAUAAUCUGAUUAGAUAUGACAUGUAAUUAUUAAUCUCCAUUGACAUGUGGUGUGAUUGACAAAAGUGAAACAAUAUAACUGUUGAUAAUAAGGAAAUCUUUAUCAAUAAGAUCCUGGUCGAAAAAGGGUUUUAAGAUUCAGGAUAUUUAUUGUUUGCCAAGAUCACCUGCCCAUAUUGUUUUUCUAAAAACUCCCAAUUAGCAGUGUUUAAACAUAGGAUGGUUUUUUUUGACAAUCUAAGAAUAAACAUUGAUAUCCUUGAUCAAACUCUGUUAAAAAAGAAAAGUUCAGACUCGUAGUGCUUAAAUUUGUCAUUUAUCAACAAAUGGUUCAGGGUUUGGCUAUAAACUUAGAAAAAGACAAGUUUUGGUAGAAUAGCAAUUCAUAUAAGAGACACCUUUGAGAGUGGAUAACUUAUUGGAUGUAUCUAAUUCAUUAUGGUUAAUGUAAUUUAAAAGGAUAGAUUCUAUAAUUGAAAAAGGGGGGGGAUCUUUUGGCACUAUGAUCUUAUCUUAUGGGAAAGACUGAUAAAUACAUAUACAUGUAUAUCCAAUAGAAUUUAAUGACAUUAAUGUCAGUUGUCAAACAAAAGAGAAGCCUAAAUUAUUGACCCAUACGAACAUCUUUUUUUUUUAUUCAUGACAAUGCUGUAUGUGACAUGUUGCCCAUUUUGUGUAAAAUGUCUUCCAAGCUUAAUUAUUCAUCCCCAUAAAAGAAAUAACUAGUAAGCCCCCCCCCUCCCCCCCCAAUGGAAAAGAACCAUAGAAACAAAGUGCACAACAAACUUAAAGAAAAAAAACUGAAAUAGAACAAAGAGUGAAAAAAACUGAAAUAGAACAAAGAGUGAAAAAAACUGAAAUAGAAAAAAGAGUGGACAACACAAGAAUUACAAUGCCAACUUCUGAGUACCUCUUGUACUACAAAAGUUCUUCUAAAGUAACAGUACAUGUGACUUUAUGAAGAACAAAAUAAGUUAUGAGUGGUAUAUAAUUGGCAUACAACAUGACGACUAUUAAAAUCUGCUUCUCUGAUAAAAGUUUAAAGCUGUUGUGAUGUUAGAAGGAAAUCGUCUGUGAAAACCCUGCAAAUCUUCUAAGUGAUUAUGAUUACAUUAAUAUGAGAUCUUCUUCCUCUAAAUGUUUUUCUUUAAGCUCUUUUCAAUAUGUCUUUAUCAAUGGAUUAGAUAUUAUUGAUAACAAGAUUAGUUGACACCAACUCAGAGUCUUAUUCUACACUUAGGACAACUAGAGUUUAACUCACACAUAUUAAACUUUGAAACAAAAUGCACUCGAGUCUAACUAUACAUAUAAGAAAAAGGACAAAGGACACUUGAAGUCUCACUCUACACAUAUUAGUACAAAAGACACUUGGAGUCUUACUCUACACAAACUAGGACAAAAGACACUUAUAGUCUUAUCGUACACGUAUAAGAUCUAAGGACACUUUGACUGGAGUCUUACUUUACAAAAUAUUAGAACAAAAGACACUUGUAGUCUUACUCUACACAUAAUAGGACACAAGACACUUGGAGUCUUACUCUACACAUAUUAGGACAAAGUCACUUGGAGUCUUACUAUACACAUAUAAGGACAAAGUCACUUUGAGUCUUACUCUACACACUAGGACAGAAGACACUUGAAGUCUUAUCGUACACAUAUUAGAUCAAAGGACACUUCAACUGGAAGUCUUACUUUACAAAUAUUUGAAUAAAGACACUUGGAGUCUUACUCUACACAUAUUAGAACAAAAUAUACUUGGAGUCUAACUCUAAACACAUUUGGACAAAAGACACUUGGAGUCAUACUCUACACAUAUUAGAACAAAAUACACACCCCAGUUUUACUCUAGAUACAAAUAUAAGAACAAAAGACACUUGGAGUCUUUACACAUAUAUGAACAAAAACACUUGGAGUAUUAAUCUACACAUAUAAGAACAAAAGGCACUUGGAGUUUUACUCUACAUAUAUUAGGACAAAAGACAUUUAGAGUCUUACUGAGACACAUAUUACAACAUAAGACACUUGUCAGUUAUUGUCUUACUCAACACUAACUAGGACAAAAGCACUUUGAGUCUUACCUUACACAUUUUAGGACACAAGACACUUAGAGUCUUACUGUGACACAUACUAAAAUAAAAGACACUUGGGAGUUUUACUCUACACUUAUUAGGAGAAAAGAAACUUGGAGUCUUACUCUACAUCAACUAGGACAAAAACACUUGGAGUCUUACUCUACACAUAUUAGGACAAAAGACACUAAGAGUCUUACUGAGACACAUACUAAAACAAAAGACACUAGGGGUUUUACUCUACACAAACUAGGACAAAAGACACUUAUAGUCUUACUUUAUACAUAUUAGAACAAAAGACACUUGGAGUCUUGCUCUACAUCAACUAGGUAAAAAGACACUUGGAGUCUUGCUCUACAUUAACUAGGUAAAAAGACACUUGGAGUCUUGAUCAACAUCAACUCUACACAAUUAAACUAGGACAAAUUUAACACUUUGAGUCUUACCUUACACAUAUUAGAACAAAA
rnacentral:lncRNA from 1 species